rnacentral:rRNA from 1 species
GAUGAACGCUGGCGGCGUGCCUAAUACAUGCAAGUCGAACGAGUGGCGGACGGGUGAGUAAUGUCUGGGAAACUGCCCGAUGGAGGGGGAUAACUACUGGAAACGGUAGCUAAUACCGCAUACCAUCGGAUGUGCCCAGAUGGGAUUAGCUAGUAGGUGGGGUAACGGCUCACCUAGGCGACGAUCCCUAGCUGGUCUGAGAGGAUGAACAGCAACACGGGAACUGAGACACGGCCCAGACGCCUACGGGAGGCAGAAGUGGGGAAUAUUGCACAAGGGGCGCAAGCCUGAUAAAGCCAUGCGGCGUGUAUGAAGAAGUCCUUCGGGUUGUAAAGUACGUUCAGCGAGGAGGCGUUACUCGCAGAAGAAGCACCGGCUAACUCCGUGCCAGCAGCCGCGGUAAUAC